rnacentral:rRNA from 1 species
CCUACGGGGGGCUGCAGUGGGGAAUAUUGGACAAUGGGGGGAACCCUGAUCCGGCCAUGCCGCGUGUGUGAAGAAGGCCCUCGGGUUGUAAAGCACUUUCAGUGAGGAAGAACGCCUGGUGGUUAAUACCCAUCAGGAAAGACAUCACUCACAGAAGAAGCACCGGCUAACUCCGUGCCAGCAGCCGCGGUAAUACGGAGGGUGCGAGCGUUAAUCGGAAUUACUGGGCGUAAAGCGCGCGUAGGUGGCUUGAUAAGCCGGUUGUGAAAGCCCCGGGCUCAACCUGGGAACGGCAUCCGGAACUGUCAAGCUAGAGUGCAGGAGAGGAAGGUAGAAUUCCCGGUGUAGCGGUGAAAUGCGUAGAGAUCGGGAGGAAUACCAGUGGCGAAGGCGGCCUUCUGGACUGACACUGACACUGAGGUGCGAAAGCGUGGGUAGCAAACAGGAUUAGAUACCCCGGUAGUC